rnacentral:rRNA from 1 species
CCUACGGGAGGCAGCAGUGAGGAAUAUUGGUCAAUGGGCGGGAGCCUGAACCAGCCAAGCCGCGUGAGGGAAGCAGGUCCAACGUAUCGUAAACCUCUUUUGUCAGGGAACAAAGGCCGGGACUCGUCCCCUGCUGAGGGUACCUGAAGAACAAGCAUCGGCUAACUCCGUGCCAGCAGCCGCGGUAAUCCGGAGGAUGCGAGCGUUAUCCGGAUUUAUUGGGUUUAAAGGGUGCGCAGGCGGCCUGUUAAGUCAGCGGUAAAAGCCCGGGGCUCAACCCCGGCGAGCCGUUGAAACUGGCGGGUUGGAGUUGGAGAGAAGUAAGCGGAAUGCGCGGUGUAGCGGUGAAAUGCAUAGAUAGCGCGCAGAACCCCGAUUGCGAAGGCAGCGUACCGGCGCCAAACUGACGCGGAGGCACGAAAGCGUGGGUAUCGAACAGGAUUAGAUACCCGAGUAGUC